GGGUUUUUAGAACCAGAAAAUACUUCAACAUUGUUUUCUUCUCCCUUCGACAUUAUUUUCUUUCCUGUGGGUAUAUUUUGAGUGUCUGGCGUUGGAGAUUAACAUAUCAACAUUGGGUGAGUAUCUAUGGGUCUGGUUUUACGAGUCUUUGUGGUUCUGGGUUUGUGAGUAUUUGUCGACUCCGCGGGUGACCAGAAUUUCCGGUAGCGUAUUUGGCUCUCUGUUGGCAUCAUCAACCGGAAUGGCGUCAUCCAGUGAAGUCCCCAAAUAUCAUCCUCGACUAUACGAAGAUGGAAAAUCGCCUUUGCUGAAGAGGAGCAUAAAUCACAAUUAUGAAAAAUAAGACCCUUGAAAGAAGGAUUAGGCUCGGAUGUGUGGGAUUCUUUGGAGAAGUCAUCCCUUGGAGUGUUUUUAAAGCUUAUUGAAUUAGAAUACACAUGGUGCGCAAAGAAUGUUCAUUUCUUCCUCACGCAUCAGCUGAGAGUCAACAACUUCCAUGAGGUUUGGUUGUUGAUUUAUGAUAGGCCCAUCCGAUUUUCUUUAAAUGAAUUUCGCAUAUAACAUGCUUGAAUUGUGAUCCAUUUGACGUCUCAUACAACUUCGGUGCUGAUCACCAUGAGUUUUGGGCAAAAACAAAAAUAGAAAAAAACAUUGAAGGUCUGACGUUUAAUGAUUUACUAAAGGUGAUUGAUUUUUGCAAGACAUGGACUACGUAGGAGAGGAUUAUGGUUAGGAAGAUGCUUCCAGCUAAGAGGUCCGUGUUAGGCAGAUGCUUCCAGUUACAGAGGAUAACAUGUAUCCUACAUAGUGCGACGCGGAUGAAAACAAGGAUCCAGACCUAGAGAACCUGAUUGAAGAUAUUUUUUAUAAUCGUUUAAGAGCCAAUGCUUGGGAAGGAUUGAAAAUAGUCAAUGUGAGGAAGAAGAACCGAAAAGUAAAAGAUGUUGAAGAUGGUGAGAUUAGAAGUAGUCAAAAGGAAAAGAAGUUGAAAGAGGUUGACUCUUGUGAUGAGGAAGGAGCAGAAGUUCGAGACAUGAAGGAGAAGUUGGGCAAAGAACAUAUGAAGGAUGUUGUGGAUGACCAGAAAACCUUGUUGGAUAUUUGGAAGCGGUUAGAAAAAUUGAAUGGGAAUAUUUCAGAUUUGGACAAGAAUCUGAGCAGUAGGAUGAUCUGUUUGGAAACUAAAUUUGAAUCCUUUCUGAAAGAAAGUAAAGAGCCAAAAACCAGUGCUGAGCCAAAAGAGGUCACUUCUGACAAUAAUGAAGAUGAUGAGGCACGUAGUAAAGCACAUAGAUGAAUGAAACUUGAAAGGAAGAAUAUCCCGUCUCACAAGUUGUUAUGAAAGUUACUGUAACAUCCGCGAACCAAAAUCCCGGUUUAGGGAUUGCAUCGGUCGAUGCAUAGCCAGUUACUUCGGACGAGUUUAAGUUAAACGCUGCAUUUUGGGUUUAGGGAAAACCCUUAAACGCGAGUUUUGUCGCAUUCGGCGAAUUUGGCCGUUUUUGAGAGAAAAGAAAAGAGAGAAAAGGUUCUUGAGUGUUCUUGAGGAUUUUGG